UAUUUGAGAGCUGAUUAGUCAUGCUGACGUUGUGCGGAGAUAAAUCUAUCACCCAGAGGAACACAAACACUCGGAGAAAUGAAAGGAAGCGAGGUGACACGGCUCUGCUGUUUCAAUAAAUCACUGAGACGUGAUUAAAACCAUGCGCCCGGGUGAUGAGAGAUGCUGCAAGUGCGAGGCUUCUCUGUUCCUGAGGGGCGGAUGAAGGACAAGCAUCAGAGCAAAGGAGGUCAAGCAUUACUGCAGCUAUCUAAUAACCACACGGACCCCUGACAAGCCAUCUGUCACCGGCUUUGUGUGUGUGUGUGCGCGCUGGCCUCUCCAUUAGCAUGGCACCUGAGUGAUGCUCAUGCCCAGUGCGCCCGCCGCUCAUACAUCUCCACGGCCAGACACCUUCCUGUGGAGAGAGGAUCAGUGCCUCCAGGACCAUGCAUCAUGUGUCACUGGUCAAUCCUUGCUUUAAUGAGCCUGUGUGUGUGUGUGUGUGUGUGUGUGUGUGUGUGUGUGUG